CUCCACCUUUCCUCUUUACACAUCUCCGUGUCUGUGCUGUCACCAGGGGCAGGUUGCUGGAGGGAYGUGGCCUUUCCCUAUGGAUUUCCAUCGGUUCCUGGUGGCCAUCCUGGUCCCUGUGGGCUGGGCCAUACAGCAAUCACCAGACACAGUCGUACAGGUGGGAGAUCCUGUGACCCUGGAAUGUUCUCKAUCGGGGAGUGCACCCAGGUCCAUGUCCUGGUACAAAUUACCCAUGGAGGAGGGUGCCAGUAUGCAGUUGAUUAUAUAUGCAGCUGAAGGCAGCAAAGGAGAUAUUGAGAAGGAAUUCAAAAACCACUUCCAGAGCAAUGGGACUAAGAACAACCGUUUAUCUGUGAAGAUAGAUCAUGCCCUCCUCAAUGACUCUGGCACRUAUUUCUGUGCUGAACAAGAUCCACAGUGA